rnacentral:rRNA from 2 species
GACGAACGCUGGCGGCGUGCCUAAUACAUGCAAGUCGAACGAACUCUGGUAUUGAUUGGUGCUUGCAUCAUGAUUUACAUUUGAGUGAGUGGCGAACUGGUGAGUAACACGUGGGAAACCUGCCCAGAAGCGGGGGAUAACACCUGGAAACAGAUGCUAAUACCGCAUAACAACUUGGACCGCAUGGUCCGAGUUUGAAAGAUGGCUUCGGCUAUCACUUUUGGAUGGUCCCGCGGCGUAUUAGCUAGAUGGUGGGGUAACGGCUCACCAUGGCAAUGAUACGUAGCCGACCUGAGAGGGUAAUCGGCCACAUUGGGACUGAGACACGGCCCAAACUCCUACGGGAGGCAGCAGUAGGGAAUCUUCCACAAUGGACGAAAGUCUGAUGGAGCAACGCCGCGUGAGUGAAGAAGGGUUUCGGCUUCGUAAAACUCUGUUGUUAAAGAAGAACAUAUCUGAGAGUAACUGUUCAGGUAUUGACGGUAUUUAACCAGAAAGCCACGGCUAACUACGUGCCAGCAGCCGCGGUAAUACGUAGGUGGCAAGCGUUGUCCGGAUUUAUUGGGCGUAAAGCGAGCGCAGGCGGUUUUUUAAGUCUGAUGUGAAAGCCUUCGGCUCAACCGAAGAAGUGCAUCGGAAACUGGGAAACUUGAGUGCAGAAGAGGACAGUGGAACUCCAUGUGUAGCGGUGAAAUGCGUAGAUAUAUGGAAGAACACCAGUGGCGAAGGCGGCUGUCUGGUCUGUAACUGACGCUGAGGCUCGAAAGUAUGGGUAGCAAACAGGAUUAGAUACCCUGGUAGUCCAUACCGUAAACGAUGAAUGCUAAGUGUUGGAGGGUUUCCGCCCUUCAGUGCUGCAGCUAACGCAUUAAGCAUUCCGCCUGGGGAGUACGGCCGCAAGGCUGAAACUCAAAGGAAUUGACGGGGGCCCGCACAAGCGGUGGAGCAUGUGGUUUAAUUCGAAGCUACGCGAAGAACCUUACCAGGUCUUGACAUACUAUGCAAAUCUAAGAGAUUAGACGUUCCCUUCGGGGACAUGGAUACAGGUGGUGCAUGGUUGUCGUCAGCUCGUGUCGUGAGAUGUUGGGUUAAGUCCCGCAACGAGCGCAACCCUUAUUAUCAGUUGCCAGCAUUAAGUUGGGCACUCUGGUGAGACUGCCGGUGACAAACCGGAGGAAGGUGGGGAUGACGUCAAAUCAUCAUGCCCCUUAUGACCUGGGCUACACACGUAGCUACAAUGGGAUGGUACAACGAGUUGCGAACUCGCGAGAGUAAGCUAAUCUCUUAAAGCCAUUCUCAGUUCGGAUUGUAGGCUGCAACUCGCCUACAUGAAGUCGGAAUCGCUAGUAAUCGCGGAUCAGCAUGCCGCGGUGAAUACGUUCCCGGGCCUUGUACACACCGCCCGUCACACCAUGAGAGUUUGUAACACCCAAAGUCGGUGGGGUAACCUUUUAGGAACCAAGCCGCCUAAGGUGGGACAGAUGAUUAGGGUG